rnacentral:rRNA from 1 species
AGAAUCAACGCUGGCGGCGUGCCUAACACAUGCAAGUCGAACGAGAAAGGGAUUUCGGUCCUGAGUAAAGUGGCGCACGGGUGAGUAACACGUGACUAACCUACCCUUGAGUGGGGAAUAACUUCGAGAAAUCGAGGCUAAUUCCGCAUAAUACCUACGGGUCAAAGGAGCAAUUCGCUUAAGGAGGGGGUCGCGGCAGAUUAGCUAGUUGGCGGGGUAAUGGCCCACCAAGGCAGUGAUCUGUAUCCGGCCUGAGAGGGCGCACGGACACACUGGAACUGAAACACGGUCCAGACUCCUACGGGAGGCAGCAGUGGGGAAUUUUGCGCAAUGGGGGAAACCCUGACGCAGCAACGCCGCGUGGAGGAUGAAGUAUCUUGGUACGUAAACUCCUUUCGAUCGGGACGAUAAUGACGGUACCGAUAGAAGAAGCCCCGGCUAACUUCGCGCCAGCAGCCGC